rnacentral:rRNA from 1 species
UACGUAGGGGGCAAGCGUUGUCCGGAAUCAUUGGGCGUAAAGCGCGUGUAGGCGGCUCGGUAAGUCUGCUGUGAAAGUCCAGGGCUCAACCCUGGGAUGCCGGUGGAUACUGUCGAGCUCGAGUCCGGAAGAGGCGAGUGGAAUUCCUGGUGUAGCGGUGAAAUGCGCAGAUAUCAGGAGGAACACCGAUGGCGAAGGCAGCUCGCUGGGACGUGACUGACGCUGAGGCGCGAAAGCGUGGGGAGCAAAAAGG